UACGUAGGGUGCAAGCGUUGUCCGGAAUUAUUGUGCGUAAAGAGCUCGUUGGCGGUUUGUCGCGUCUGCUGUGAAAACUCGGGGCUCAACUCCGAGCUUGCAGUGGGUACGGGCAGACUAGAGUGCGGUAGGGGAGACUGGAAUUCCUGGUGUAGCGGUGAAAUGCGCAGAUAUCAGGAGGAACACCGGUGGCGAAGGCGGGUCUCUGGGCAAUAACUGACGCUGAGGAGCGAAAGCGUGGGGAGCGAACAGG
rnacentral:rRNA from 1 species